rnacentral:rRNA from 1 species
UACGGAGGGUGCGAGCGUUGUCCGGAAUCACUGGGCGUAAAGGGCGCGUAGGCGGCGCGGCUAGUCGGCGGUGAAAGCCCGGAGCUCAACUCCGGGUCGGCCGUCGAUACUUCCGGGCUUGAGCACUGUAGAGGCAGAUGGAAUUCCGGGUGUAGCGGUGGAAUGCGCAGAUAUCAGGAGGAACACCGGUGGCGAAGGCGGGUCUCUGGGCCGAUACUGACGCUGAGGAGCGAAAGCGUGGGGAGCGAACAGG